rnacentral:rRNA from 1 species
CCUACGGGAGGCAGCAGUGGGGAAUAUUGCACAAUGGGGGAAACCCUGAUGCAGCGACGCCGCGUGGGUGAAGAAGUAUUUCGGUAUGUAAAGCUCUAUCGGCAGGGAAGAAAUAGCGGCCUUUGGGUCGCCAGGCGGUACCUGAUUAAGAAGCCCCGGCUAACUACGUGCCAGCAGCCGCGGUAAUACGUAGGGGGCAAGCGUUAUCCGGAUUUACUGGGGGUAAAGGGAGCGUAGACGGCAACGCAAGUCUGAAGUGAAAUGCCGGGGCUUAACCCCGGAACUGCUUUGGAAACUGUGGAGCUAGAGUGUAGGAGAGGUAAGUGGAAUUCUUAGUGUAGGGGUGAAAUGCGUAGAUAUCAGGAGGAAUACUAGUGGCGAAGGCGGCCUACUGGACCGUAACUGACGUUGAGGCGCGAAAGCGUGGGGAGCAAACAGGAUUAGAUACCCCGGUAGUC